UUGGAGUAGAAAGAAGACGAGACCAACGGGAUCCUGUCAGGUUGGAGUAGAAAGAUGACGAGACCAACGGGAUCCUGUCAGGUUGGAGUAGAAAGAAGACGAGACCAACGGGAUCCUGUCAGGUUGGAGUAGAAAGAAGACGAGACCAACGGGAUCCUGUCAGGUUGGAGUAGAAAGAAGACGAGACCAACGGGAUCCUGUCAGGUUGGAGUAGAAAGAAGACGAGACCAACGGGAUCCUGUCAGGUUGGAGUAGAAAGAAGACGAGACCAACGGGAUCCUGUCAGGUUGGAGUAGAAAGAAGACGAGACCAACGGGAUCCUGUCAGGUUGGAGUAGAAAGAAGACGAGACCAACGGGAUCCUGUCAGGUUGGAGUAGAAAGAAGACGAGACCAACGGGAUCCUGUCAGGUUGGAGUAGAAAGAAGACGAGACCAACGGGAUCCUGUCAGGUUGGAGUAGAAAGAAGACGAGACCAACGGGAUCCUGUCAGGUUGGAGUAGAAAGAAGACGAGACCAACGGGAUCCUGUCAGGUUGGAGUAGAAAGAAGACGAGACCAACGGGAUCCUGUCAGGUUGGAGUAGAAAGAAGACGAGACCAACGGGAUCCUGUCAGGUUGGAGUAGAAAGAAGACGAGACC